AGCGAACGCUGGCGGCAGGCUUAACACAUGCAAGUCGAGCGGGCACUUUCGGGUGUCCGCGGCUGACGGGUGAGUAACGCGUGGGAACGUGCCCUCUGGUUCGGAAUAACUCAGGGAAACUUGAGCUAAUACCGGAUACGCCCUUUUGGGGAAAGGCUUGCUGCCGGAGGAUCGGCCCGCGUCUGAUUAGCUAGUUGGUUAGGUAACGGCUCACCAAGGCGACGAUGAGUAGCUGGUCUGAGAGGAUGAUCAGCCACACUGGGACUGAGACACGGACCAGAAUCGUACGGGAGGGAGCAGUGGGGAAUAUUGGACGAGGGGCGCAAGUCUGAUCCAGCCAUGCCGGGUGAGUGAUGAAGGCCGUAGGGUUGUAAAGCUCUUUUAUCCGGGACGAUAAUGACGGUACCGGAGGAAUAAGCCCCGGCUAACUUCGUG
rnacentral:rRNA from 1 species